rnacentral:lncRNA from 1 species
GAUAAAUCCCUAGAUCUAGCAUUUUCUCCUUAUUUUCUACAAACAUAUCUCUUUAUUGUUUUCUAUUUUGUUUUCUAUUAUUAAUCUAGUUUAGUCUGAAACUAAUAGUCUAUUAUGUGAAAUAUCGAGUCUUUGUGGACAUGAUCAUCAAUUACUGCACUAAUCCUCUUAUUUGAGAGAGGUGCUUGAAGGUUAAUUUGAGCAAACUAAAUUUGGCACCGUUGUCAGGGACUCUGAUCACUAUUAUACUAGGUGUAGGAUUUAGACUAGGUUUUUUUUUAGUUGUACUUAUUUUAUCUUUCUUUUCUUGGGUUUCAGGUGCAUUCAUUUCAAUACCAAAAUCAACAAAAUUUACAGCUUUUGGAACUCUCAUACCAAAGGAUUUUCUGGGCUGGAACGAACGAACCGUAAGGCCAACAGGAAAGUAUCGAUCAACACCCUUGGGUCGUCGAUUGACACUACUCAGACACAACAGCCGAA